UAUAUAGAUAUUUCCUAAUUUUGUAGGCUCAUUAUAUUUAUAAUGCUUUGAACUUUUAAGCUACAAGCUUUUUUGUGUAUUUUUUAAGCAAAAAUUUGUACCCUCAGAUUUUAAGAUGCUUUUCUCCCAAAUUCCCAGUAUCUUAGGCUUUAGGCUUUAAGCUCUUUAUUGUUAGCUUUGAAUCAUUCAAGCUUAUCAGCCGGCAGCUAGCAAGCAACUUCUACAUCAAACGCCAACGGAGCCAGCAUGCACCAAUAAACAAACCAAAAGCCCACCAAAUCUGGGAUUAAAACACAGAGGGCUUACGUUUAUUGUUUUUUUUACGAAAAUUCCCAGCAUUGUCAAGGCAUCGCGAAUAGCAAACAAGAUGCUGCAAAGCGUGCACUUGCAACUACCGUCGGCUGUUACGUUGCAACAAUAACACACAGCUGUUCGGCAAACUAUUCUUGCUGUUGUGUCUACCGUUAUACGAGUUUAAACUGAAAUCGCCUGAAGAAUAAACAGAGAAUAUAUUUUUUUCACGAGCAGCUAACAAAUAUACAAAUCCUUGUGCUUACUCAUAAAUGGGUAUAUCCAUGUG